GACAGCUUGACCGAGUGGUUAAGGCGAUAGACUAGAAAUCUAUUGGGGUAACCCGCGUGAGUUCAAAUCUCACAGCUGUCG
rnacentral:tRNA from 1 species